UCGUUGGUAUGCGAACUCUUUUUUUUACAUUGAUUGGCGCAAUUGAAGUAUCGACAGUAAAACAAUUUGCAUCUUAUAAUAUAUAUUUUUUUGUCUGUUAGUGCGUCAACCUUAGUUUUAAUUAAAUUUUAAACUAGUUUAUAAGGUUUAAAAGGACAGACUAAAGGUCAAAUAAUAAUUAACCUUAGCCAUGAAAUUCUUUAAUGCGAAACUUUAAUAAUACUCGUAAUAAUUUGUUAAAUUUUACUUAAUUUUAAAGGUUUACAAAGAGAUCGUAUAUCUACAAAAAAGGGAGAAAAAUAGAUCCAUUUGACUGAAAACUUUGCUAGUCGGGUUUUUUAUCUUCUAACCUAUAUCCUGGUAGCGUGUGCUGAGGUUCGAGACUACACCCCCCCCCCCAAACACGUAUAUAUUUUAA